UACGUAGGGUGCAAGCGUUAAUCGGAAUUACUGGGCGUAAAGCGUGCGCAGGCGGUAAUGUAAGACAGUUGUGAAAUCCCCGGGCUCAACCUGGGAACUGCAUCUGUGACUGCAUUGCUGGAGUACGGCAGAGGGGGAUGGAAUUCCGCGUGUAGCAGUGAAAUGCGUAGAUAUGCGGAGGAACACCGAUGGCGAAGGCAAUCCCCUGGGCCUGUACUGACGCUCAUGCACGAAAGCGUGGGGAGUAAACAGG
rnacentral:rRNA from 1 species